AUUGAACGCUGGCGGCAGGCCUAACACAUGCAAGUCGAGCGGAUGAAGAGAGCUUGCUCUCUGAUUCAGCGGCGGACGGGUGAGUAAUGCCUAGGAAUCUGCCUGGUAGUGGGGGACAACGUUUCGAAAGGAACGCUAAUACCGCAUACGUCCUACGGGAGAAAGUGGGGGAUCUUCGGGCCUCACGCUCUCAGAUGACCCUAGGUACGAUUAGCUAGUUGGUGAGGUAACGGCUCACCAAGGCGACGAUCGUUAACUGGUCUGAGAGGAUGAUCAGUCACACUGGAACUGAGACACGGUCCAGACUCCUACGGGAGGCAGCAGUGGGGAAUAUUGGACAAUGGGCGAAAGCCUGAUCCAGCCAUGCCGCGUGUGUGAAGAAGGUCUUCGGAUUGUAAAGCACUUUAAGUUGGGAGGAAGGGCAGUAAGUUAAUACCUUGCUGUUUUGACGUUACCGACAGAAUAAGCACCGGCUAACUUCGUGCCAGCCGCCGCGGUAA
rnacentral:rRNA from 1 species